CCGGCCCAACACCCAACAGAUUUGUGCGCGGGCCGGGGGCGGUGCGAAUGGGCACCACUUUCCACCUGCCUCUGCGCGCCAGAGCGGAACAAACAAGAGGACAGACCAAUGGGAGUUAGCGCUGGAACUUGGCUAUACAUUGAGAACAACAUAUCUAUCUCGUCCCUUUCCAUUGGAGGCUACUACUGCCAUUUCUCCUCACUCACACUGUAUUUCUGAUUCCUCUUGGCAUUGAAGUGACUCUGAAUUCAAGGUUCACCUUCAACAGUGGAAAGGCUGUAUAUAUAGCCAUCUUCUCUCCAGAUGCCAGCCCCAUUCCCUGAGACCGGAAAGUGGGAGGAAGCUCUUAGCAAUUCCAGAAACGUAAACUGGUCUUGCCAUGACUACUGAAAAUGAUGGAACAAAAGUGAUUAGUGGAGAAUUGAUAACCAAGAUAAUUAAGGAGAUUACAGACAGGACUUUUGAUCCACUGUGAAUGAUAUCUGAAAGCUGAUGGAGUUAGGGACCCCCUUAGUUUCCAGUUUUUUGCUAUUACAAAAACAGCUGCUAGAAAUAUUUUUGUAUACAUGACACUGGAGAAGGACAAAUAUUAUGAUUUUUCAAAAAGGAAAGAGGAUGGAGUAUGUAAGUCAGAGGCCACUAAGCUUGAUUCCAACUCCUGGGAAAAUUCAAGAAUAGAUCAUUUAAAGAGAAGCUUGGAAAACAUCUACAAAGGGAAGCAGUGAUUAGGAAGAGUCAGCAUGACUUUAUCAAGAAGAAGACAUGAUGGAUUAACCUAUUUCCUUUUUUGACAAGGCUACGUCAAAGUUUUGAGGGGAAUUCUAUUGAUGAUAUAGUUUACUUAGAUUUUAGCAAAGGUUUUCAAUAGAGUAUCUCACAUUAUUCCUGUGGAGAAAGAUGGAAAGAUGAAGUUUAGAAAAUCAUAUAAUCAGAUGGAAUCAGACCUGGUUGACUGGCUGGACUCAAAGAGUAGUAUUGUUUUUUAAAUAUCUUUAUUUAUCUAGCUAUUUACUCAUGAAAGCCAUUAUUAUCAUUUCCUCCUAUUGCCCCUUCCCCCAGUUGAACAUUAAAAAACAAAAACUCUCAAAAAAACCUCAUGUAAUCAAACAAAGCAAAUUCUCACACUGGUCAUCUGAAGAAAAAAACAACAACAACACUAUCUAAUUCUGGAUUUUGAGUCCAUCAUUAUUACCUCUCUGGCAGGAAAUGGGUGACAUGAUUAAACCCCAGUCAUUUGGACUUAUUAUUGUGUUACCUCGAGUUUUUAAGUCUUUCAAAGUUGCCUUUCUCAAUACUGCUGUUGUCAUUGUGGAGAGUCUUCACUCUAGAUAUAUUCAGGUCUUCCCAGUUUCCAUCUGAAUUUUUUUCAUUUUGUGAUGUCUAAUGGUGCAAUAAUAUGCCAUUACAUUAAUAUAAUACAGCUUAUUUAUCCAUUCCUCCUCAUUUAGGGACCUACUUAGUUUCCCAUUUUUUUGCUAUUACAUAAAGAACUGCUAUAAAUAUUUUUCUAUAUGUUUUAUACUGAAGCAGCUGAGUGGUAUAAUGGAUAGAGCACUGGACCUGGGGAGUCAAGAAAUCCUGAGUUCAAAUCCAGACCUCAACAUUUAUUGUUUAUUAUUUGUUUUCAUAAAGGACCAAAUGGAUGAUGUCUUAACUUGUAAGUGAAUUGGAUUUAAGUGAGGAAGAAUUGUACAAAGUCAUCAGCCUCAUUCUUUCUUCCAGUCAUCCAAGUCCAAUGCCAAGACAAAAGUCAGGAUGAAUGGUGUUAGCCUGGGAUGCAGUGGUUGACCAUGGUAUCUUUGAUGUCUGACCCAGCUGCAAACAGUCCACAGUGCCAGCUUCCAUCUCCUUCAUGGCCAUUGGAACAAAUUGUUCUCAUCUACCCAUUCUGCCAGGGAAAGUCUUCACAUGCUUAGAUUAGACACUCCCCUAAUUCACUGAAGGUUUUGUGGCCCAUGGGUUACCUUCAAACCUUUCUAUAGAUAAAUGGCCAAAAAGGACACCAACAGGAAAUUUUCAGAUGAAGAAAUCCAAGCUAUCAAUCACCACAGAAGAAAAAACAUUCUACAUUACUAAUAUUUAGAGAAAUGCAAAUUAAGACAACUCUGAUUUUCUACUUCACACCUAUUGUAUUGGUAUAGAUGAUGAAAGCCACUGCUUUCUGCUGCAGAUGCUGAGAUGGUUUUCUUUCUGCACUGCAUCUGCUGAGAUGGCUUUCUCAUGCUACACUUUCUUUGAGCCACAGGUAAGACCCUAGUGCCAGGUGGACAUCAAAAGUGGAUGAGCAGCCCAGAAAAGGGCUCUGCAAACCCUUCCACCAGAGGUGCUAGUCUUCCCUGAACACCCAGACCUCCCAAACAGCAUUUUGCUAUUGUUCAUUCAUUUCAGUUGUGACCCCAUUUGGGAUUUUCUUGGCAAAGAUACUGGAGGGGUUGGCCAUUUUCUUCUCUGGCUCAUUUUAUAGAUGAGGAAACUGAAGCAGGUGAAGUGAUUUGCCCAAGGUCACUCAGCCAUUUUUUUUAAUGGAAUUUCUCUUUCUGGCUCUUUCAGCUUGUUUUGGUUUUUGGAACACAGAAAUGCUGAUGAUUUGCAUGGAUUUAUUUUGUAUCCUGCCAUGCUGACAAAUUUAUAUUUUUAAUUAGUUCUUCAGGCUUUUUCUAAGCAAAUCAUCCUAUUGUCUUCAAAAAGUAACAAUUUUGUUUCUUCUUUACUUAUGAUUCUUACUUUAUUUUUCCUUCUUGUCAGCUAGCAUUCCUAAAAGUAUGUUAAAUACUAAGGAUGAUAGUAGGUAUUCUUGCUUUUUCCAUGAUCUUGUUGGAAAGAUUACACAUCAUGGGUGCUGGGGGUUUUAGAUGGAUGUUAUUUCCUAUAUUAAGGAAAGGUUCAUUUAUUCUGGUGCUUUCUAGUGUUUUUUAACAGAAACAGGUGUUGGAUUUUGUCAGAAGGUUUUUUUCAGCAUCUGUUGAGAUAAUCAUGUGUUUUUUAUUAUUAACAUAAGUAUUAUAUUUAUAGUCUUCCUUAUGUUGAUCCAACCCUACAGAAUGAAUUUGCCUGACAUAAUUUUCGGUUUUGGAGUGAGAUUUUCUACCAUCUGUUCUAAGGUGUCAUAUUUCCUUGCUGGCCUUUCAUCCCUAGCUAUUCCAUUUUGCUUUUCUUAUUUCUUUUUUUUUCAGGUACUUUUAAAGUCCUUAUUGCCAGGAUGUAUAUAUUUCAUAUAUACAUUUUUGGAGGCAUCAAUUGGACUGGUAAGGUUGCUCUCUUCCUUUGGCUUUACCCCUGGGUGUCUCUCAAUCCUCCAGUUUUGGGGAAUUUUACUUGGUUCCCUUAUCUCAGGAGCCUCAGUACAUAGGUUGGGGGAACCUGCUUUGGGUCGGGCUCCAUGGACUCCUGUUCUCCUGGAUGGCAGGGGCAGAGCUUGCCUUGACUUUAGUGGGGUAGUCCAGACAAGGCCUCUCCUUCAAGGAAUGAACUCCAGGGUUGCUCCGUCCCUGGGCCUCCCUCUUGGACAGUAGUCCUUGGUCACCUCCUGUUCCAGGGCUUCCCUGAGACCUUCUCUUCUGCUGCUGAGAUUCAGGGGCUGCUUCAGCUGCUUCUAUGCUGCCUGCCAUGGGGUUUGAGGUUGCUGCUCUUUGAGAGUGCCCUUCUGUUCUCUCCUUUCCACCUAAACACAGCUUCUAUGUCAGGGCUCCUGCAGGGUUUCUGAGGUCCUUCUCUGGACUACUGGAUUGGGUCGAAGAGUAUGUGGUUGGUUCUCUUUUUUCAUUAAAAUCAACAUGUGAAUGAUACAUUUUGAAGUUUUCUUGGCGUGUUUUCAGAAGGUUAGGGAUUUUUGUUUUUAAACCCUAUCUCCCAUCUUAGAAUAAUACUAUGUAUUGGUUCCAAGGCAGAAGAAGUAAGGGCUAGGCAAGGUGGGUUAAGUGACUUGCCCAGGGUCACACAGCUGGGAAGUGUCUCAGAUCACAUUUGAACCCAGAAUCUUCCAUCUCUGAGCCUGGCUCUCAAUCCACUGAACCACCUAGCUGUCCCCUUUAUUUUCUUUUUUUAAAGGAAAUGUAUGUUUAUGUGCACCCUAGUCAUCCUCUCACUUGGUUAUUUUUUUAUUUUUUUGUUAUUUUGUACUAAAAAAUUGGAGCAACUAGGUGGCAAAUAGGGGUCUGGAGACAGGAUGACCUGAGUUCAAGUCUAGUCUCAGACACUUAUUAUAUGUGUGACCCUGGGCAAAUCAAACUAUUUGCCUCAGUUUCCUCACCUAUAAAAUGAACUAGAGAAGGUAAUGGCAAACCACUCCAAUAUCUUUGCCAAGAAAAGUCAUCUGAAUACCAACACCACAAAAAUACUAAUUAACAUGAGCAUUUCCAUAUAUAAAAAAUAGUGGGGGAAGAAAGGGCUGGGAAUUACAUAUGAAACUACAGAUAAACAGCUUAAAAACAUACACACACACACACACACACACGAAUUCAGCAUUUCAAUAUCAAAGCUAGGUUACUUGUUUGUGAUGGACACCAAACCUCCUCUUCUCUUCUGUGUAUGUGUUUUUUCACUGCUUUAUCCUUACUAAUUGCCUCCAAAUAUGCCAAAAAAUCUUCCACGGUUUAAAAUAACCUUCCUUGUGUUAAACAAGUCUUGUAAAGCAAAAUAAAUUCACCCAUCAGCCAUGUACAAAAAUGUCUACCUCAUUCUGGGUCUCAUGCCCAUCCCAUCUCUGGUGGCAGUUCAGUAGAAUGUUUCAUCAUUGGCCCUCUGAAGCCUCAGUUGGUCAUUACAUUGAUUGAAAGGGUAUUCAAAGGUAUUGUCUUAUAAUGUUGUAGUUGUAUAAAUUGUUUUUCUAGUUCUGCUCAUUUCAUUCUAUAUUAAUUCAAAUAAAUCUUCCCAUGUUUCUCUUAAUCCAUCCUUUUCCUUAUUUUUUACCACAUAACAAUAUUCCAAUUACAUUCCUAUACCAGAAGUUGAUCAGCCAUUUUCCAAAUGGUGGAUACCUGCCCUUAGUUACCAGUUCUUUGCUACUAUCAAGAGAGCUGAUAUAAAUAUUUUUGUAAUAUAGGUCCAUCUUUCUUGGAUCUCUUUGGAUGUAUAGGACUAGUAAUGGCAUUGCUACAUCAAAAGACAAUCACAGUUCAGUGAUUUUUGAGGGGUCUAGAGUUCCAUAUUGAUUUCCAGAAUGUCUAGAAGACCUGGAACUCUUCUAACAUAAGCCUUAAUGAUCCAGAAUCUCUUCUAAAACAUGAUCAUUAAAAAUAUAUUUAUUUAAUCAAUUAAUUUAUAAUAUUUUUCCAUAGUUACAUGAUUCAUGUUCUUUACCUCCCCUCCUUGCUCCUCCUUCCCAGAGCCAACAAGCAAUUCCAUUGGGUAAAACAUGAUCAUUUUUGAAGGAGAUCAUAAGAAUGCAAACAUCCCUCUUGAAUUUAUUCCAUUUUCUGAGAAGUCAUCAUAUUUAGAUAUAAUGCCUUUCAAGUAGUGGUCACCAUCAGUUUUUUGUUUUUAUUUUAUUUUAUUUUUUAAACCCUUACCUUCUGUCUUAGAAUCAAUACUGUGUAUUGGUUCUAAGGCAGAAGAGUGGUAAAGUCUAGGCAAUAGGGGUUGUGACUUGCUCAGGGUCACACAGCUGGGAAGUGUCUGAGGCCAGAUUUGAACCCAGGACCUCCCAACUCUAGGCCUGGCUCUCAAUCCACUGAGCCCCCAGCUGCCCCCAAUUUUUAAAAAAUUUUCAGCUUUGAGCAGAGUCUUACUGACAAGUACAAAAUCCUUACAUUAAAAAUUUAAAUUGUUUAAAUGCUUUCCCCUUUGGUCUUUCCUCAUAAGCAUUAGACUAUUUCUGAUUAUUUAAUGAGGACAAAGGAAUGAAUUAGUCUUCUAGAUUUUAAAGUGCAAUCAAAUGCAAUCAAGUCUGGUUGAAAACAUUUCUGUCCCAGAAAUGCUGUUGCUAAUUUCUCCAUCUUAUACAUGUUUAAAAAUGGAAUUGAAAAACCUUCAUCAACUCUACUAUUUCCCAAGAACUGUGCUAAGUACUGGGAAUACAGUUGUGAGAAAUCGUGAAAAGUGAGACAAUCUUUGCUUCCAAAAUCCAGUGAUAUCCUCACUAUAUUAUGCUACCUAUAAAUACUCAAUUUAAUCACUAACACUUUGAGUUAUCUUAGACAGGGAAAGGAGUGGGUUUUUAACUGGAACAGAGUCUCUCGUUCUCUGGAUACAUCUAGCCUUAAUUUCUACCCUACUGGUAAAGAAACCAAGGUAGGAUGACAGAAUUCUCUCUUCAGGGAUAUGCUGGUAAAUGUUUAGCAACUAAGUCUUCAAAAAUGUUCACCAAACUGUAGCAUUUUAAAUUUUAAUCUGCAUAAUCCAUUUUCUCAAGUCUAGACAAGCCCAGAUUUGGCCUGCGAGGGGUCAUAGUUUUUAGACCCCCUGCUCUAGGUAAUAAAACAAAAAAGUCAAGCCCCGCCCCGUUUGGAACCAUUUGCUGAUUUAUGAACAAUCAGGUCUUGUGAGCAGGGAUAAGCUAGCUGCUGUUCAUUCUUGGUUUUCUUUUCUUUUGAGACAUCCCAUAGCCAUCUCUUUACUAUACUACCUCAAACCUAAAAUUUCACUCUUCCCUCUUAGCUGAGGGCCUGUUAAUAUCAGAAAGUUUUAUUCAUUUUUUUCCCCAACUUCUACAGGUGUGUCAGAGGACAGACCAGCCUGUUCCCUUGGCCACGGUUGGCAGAUCCAUAAGAAAUGGAAAGGAGGCCUCCAAACCAGCACUGAAUUGUGAAAAAUGAAAGACAUUUUCACAGAGUGGAACAGUCAUACAUUUGUCUAAAUUCCCCGUGAGAGAUGUAAACCUUAAAAUUUCUUAGACUUAAGAAUGUUGGAAAUUUCCCCAUUGGGAAAUUUCAUACUUGAAAAAUUUCCUACUGAUAGUAAGAACUCUAUUGGAAUGUGAAACUCCUUGGCAUGGGAGGAUCCUUCUCCUCCCUGCUUAAGACUACUUUAGGACAGAAACCUUUUGUUAAACAAUGGAAAGGGCUUUGACCUAUGCUUAAGCAUAGAACAGGAAGUUCUUUGAGUCAUGAUUGAUUUUAGAAUUGAUACAAUAGAGAUACUUGGAAUGACAGAACCAGGUCUUGGAAUUUACAAUCUCCACCCUACUCAGAGUAAUAGGAUUUAGGAAGUGCUGCAGCAAAGAUUAAGAUUUAAUUAUUUGAGAAUAUGACCUUCAACAGACAUGUGCAAAGGAAACAGACCUCUGGGCGGUCCUGGGUUAAGCUAGAGCCACCAUUGGCACAGGGGAGACAUCGACAGUGAUUGGUAGAUGUGAGAACUGAGGGGAGGGGACUUAGAUGGUUUCCUUAAAGAUAGCGGGGUCUGAGGACAGGAGGAGGAGGUUUUGCUCUGGGAGGUUUUUUUUGCUCUGAGAAGUUUUGCUCUGAAAGAGUCUGAGAGGAGAGAGGUCCUGGAGGGAGAGCUCCUGGAGAGGUCUGAGAGGAGGGCUUGCUCUGAAGAAGGCUGGAGGUGGAGGCCCCUGAGACUGUUUCUCCUUUUUGGUCACAUGAGUGAUAGGGACUGAUCUCUUUUCUUUGCCUCAGCUAUCUAAGGGCUUGGGCCUUUGGCCCAGCCUAAGCAGAGGGGGUAUUGAAGCCCUAUUCCCUUCU